UACGUAGGGUGCAAGCGUUAAUCGGAAUUACUGGGCGUAAAGCGCGUGUAGGCGGGUCGUUUAAGUGUCCGCGUGAAAUCCCACGGCUCAACCGUGGAACUGCCGGGCAUACUGGCGAUCUUGAGGCAUUCAGGGGCGAGCGGAACAAAUGGUGGAGCGGUGAAAUGCGUAGAUAUCAUUUGGAACGCCAAUGGUGAAAACAGCUCGCUGGGAAUGAUCUGACGCUGAGACGCGAAAGCCAGGGGAGCGAACGGG
rnacentral:rRNA from 1 species